rnacentral:rRNA from 1 species
AUUGAACGCUGGCGGCAGGCCUAACACAUGCAAGUCGAACGAGUGGCAGACGGGUGAGUAAUGUCUGGGAAACUGCCUGAUGGAGGGGGAAAACUACUGGACACGGUAGCUAAUACCGCAUACCAUCAGGUAUGCCCAGAUGGGUUGAGCUUGUGUGUGGGGAAAGGGCUCACAAGGGAGACGAUCCCUAGCUGGUCUGAGAGGAUGACCAGCCACACUGGAACUGAGACACGGGCCAGACUCCUACGGGAGGCAGCAGUGGGGAAUAUUGCACAAUGGGCGCAAGCCUGAUGCAGCCAUGCCGCGUGUAUGAAGAAGGCCUUAGGGUUGUAAAGUACUUUCAGCGGGGAGGCGUUACCCGCAGAAGAAGCACCGGCUAACUCCGUGCCAGCAGCCGCGGUAAUAC